GCCAUGCCGCGUGUGUGAUGAAGGCCUUAGGGUCGUAAAGCACUUUCGCCUGUGAUGAUAAUGACAGUAGCAGGUAAAGAAACCCCGGCUAACUCCGUGCCAGCAGCCGCGGUAAUACGGAGGGGGUUAGCGUUGUUCGGAAUUACUGGGCGUAAAGCGCACGUAGGCGGAUUAGUCAGUCAGAGGUGAAAUCCCAGGGCUCAACCCUGGAACUGCCUUUGAUACUGCUAGUCUUGAGUUCGAGAGAGGUGAGUGGAAUUCCGAGUGUAGAGGUGAAAUUCGUAGAUAUUCGGAGGAACACCAGUGGCGAAGGCGGCUCACUGGCUCGAUACUGACGCUGAGGUGCGAAAGUGUGGGGAGCAAACAGGAUUAGAUACCCUGGUAGUCCACACCGUAAACGAUGAAUGCCCAGUCGUCGGGCAGUAUACUGUUCGGUGACACACCUAACGG
rnacentral:rRNA from 1 species